rnacentral:rRNA from 1 species
UACGAAGGGGGCUAGCGUUGUUCGGAAUUACUGGGCGUAAAGCGCACGUAGGCGGAUUGUUAAGUCGGGGGUGAAAUCCUGAGGCUCAACCUCAGAACUGCCUUCGAUACUGGCAAUCUCGAGUCCGGAAGAGGUUGGUGGAACAGCUAGUGUAGAGGUGAAAUUCGUAGAUAUUAGCUAGAACACCAGUGGCGAAGGCGGCCAACUGGUCCGGUACUGACGCUG